CGUGUAGGCGGUCAGGUAAGUGGGGUGUGAAAGCCCCGGCUCACCCGGGGAUCUGCAUUCCAAACUGCCUGGCUUGAGUACGGGAGAGGAUAAGGGAAUUCCUGGUGUAGCGGUGAAAUGCGUAGAUAUCAGGAAGAACACCCGUGGCGAAGGCGGCUCUCUGGAACGCAACUGACGCUGAGACGCGAAAGCGUGGGGAGCAAACA
rnacentral:rRNA from 1 species